rnacentral:lncRNA from 1 species
AGGGGGCCCGCGGGGGCGGCGGUAGUUAUGCCUGAAUGGUCCGGUGAUGGAUGGAUGCACGGGUUGGCGGCCCUAGGGUCCCUGUUGAAGGGAGCCUCAAUGCAUUGUGGCGGGGAAGAAGCAUUAAAGCAAGAAUUGCACAACAGCAUAGAGGUGGCACGAAACCAUGGGUACAACCCGUCAAUGGUUGGAGGGUUGUGGAAGGAAUUAGAAAAUAAGAGGAACGCUGAUAAAUCUAGUAACCAGCCAUUUGAGCAGGGAAGAGAAAAAUGAAACUGCAGUAAGGUAGAUUGUUGAUUGUCAAUGUUUACAUUUUAGUGAUUCUUAAAUUUUAUUUAGUGCUUUAAAUCUCAAAUUCUUCUUUUACUGCUAGGUGACAUGCUAUUCUUAACAAUGCUUUUGACACAUUUUCGUGCCAUGCUUUUGACACAUUUUCUGCCAGUUGUUCAUUAAUAAUGUUGCCCUGCUUCAUUCAUCUUGGUAUCUCAGUUGUUUCAUACGUAAGACUUUCUGAUUUUGUAUCACAUUUCUUCCUCCC